rnacentral:rRNA from 1 species
GACAUAAGUAACGAUAAAGCGGGUGAAAAGCCCGCUCGCCGGAAGACCAAGGGUUCCUGUCCAACGUUAAUCGGGGCAGGGUGAGUCGACCCCUAAGGCGAGGCCGAAAGGCGUAGUCGAUGGGAAACGGGUUAAUAUUCCCGUACUUGGUGUUACUGCGAAGGGGGGACGGAGAAGGCUAUGUUGGCCGGGCGACGGUUGUCCCGGUUUAAGCGUGUAGGCUGGUUUUCCAGGCAAAUCCGGAAAAUCAAGGCUGAGGCGUGACGACGAGGCACUACGGUGCUGAAGCAACAAAUGCCCUGCUUCCAGGAAAAGCCUCUAAGCAUCAGGUAACAUCAAAUCGUACCCCAAACCGACACAGGUGGUCAGGUAGAGAAUACCAAGGCGCUUGAGAGAACUCGGGUGAAGGAACUAGGCAAAAUGGUGCCGUAACUUCGGGAGAAGGCACGCUGACACGUAGGUGAAGUGAUUUACUCAUGGAGCUGAAGUCAGUCGAAGAUACCAGCUGGCUGCAACUGUUUAUUAAAAACACAGCACUGUGCAAACACGAAAGUGGACGUAUACGGUGUGACGCCUGCCCGGUGCCGGAAGGUUAAUUGAUGGGGUCAGCGCAAGCGAAGCUCCUGAUCGAAGCCCCGGUAAACGGCGGCCGUAACUAUAACGGUCCUAAGGUAGCGAAAUUCCUUGUCGGGUAAGUUCCGACCUGCACGAAUGGCGUAAUGAUGGCCAGGCUGUCUCCACCCGAGACUCAGUGAAAUUGAACUCGCUGUGAAGAUGCAGUGUACCCGCGGCAAGACGGAAAGACCCCGUGAACCUUUACUAUAGCUUGACACUGAACAUUGAGCCUUGAUGUGUAGGAUAGGUGGGAGGCUUUGAAGCGUGGACGCCAGUCUGCGUGGAGCCGACCUUGAAAUACCACCCUUUAAUGUUUGAUGUUCUAACGUGGACCCGUAAUCCGGGUUGCGGACAGUGUCUGGUGGGUAGUUUGACUGGGGCGGUCUCCUCCUAAAGAGUAACGGAGGAGCACGAAGGUUGGCUAAUCCUGGUCGGACAUCAGGAGGUUAGUGCAAUGGCAUAAGCCAGCUUGACUGCGAGCGUGACGGCGCGAGCAGGUGCGAAAGCAGGUCAUAGUGAUCCGGUGGUUCUGAAUGGAAGGGCCAUCGCUCAACGGAUAAAAGGUACUCCGGGGAUAACAGGCUGAUACCGCCCAAGAGUUCAUAUCGACGGCGGUGUUUGGCACCUCGAUGUCGGCUCAUCACAUCCUGGGGCUGAAGUAGGUCCCAAGGGUAUGGCUGUUCGCCAUUUAAAGUGGUACGCGAGCUGGGUUUAGAACGUCGUGAGACAGUUCGGUCCCUAUCUGCCGUGGGCGCUGGAGAACUGAGGGGGGCUGCUCCUAGUACGAGAGGACCGGAGUGGACGCAUCACUGGUGUUCGGGUUGUCAUGCCAAUGGCACU